GACGAACGCUGGCGGCGUGCUUAACACAUGCAAGUCGAACGGAGUGGCGGACGGGUGAGUAACGCGUAAUCAACCUGCCCUUCAGGGGGGGACACCAGUUGGAAACGACUGCUAAUCCCGCUUAGUGAAGGAGGGGUUUGCGUCGGAUUAGCUGGUUGGAGGGGUAACGGCCCACCAAGGCGAUGAUCAGUAGCCGGUCUGAGAGGAUGAACGGCCACAAUGGGACUGAGACACGGGCCAGACUCCUACGGGAGGGAGCAGGGGGGAAUCUUCCGCAAUGGACGAAAGGCUGACGGAGCAACGCCGCGGGAGUGAUGACGGCCUUCGGGUUGUAAAGCUCUGUUAAUCGGGACGCGGUACCGGAAUAGAAAGCCACGGCUAACUACGUGCCAGCAGCCGCGGUAAUUC
rnacentral:rRNA from 1 species